rnacentral:rRNA from 1 species
UGGGGAAUAUUGCACAAUGGGCGCAAGCCUGAUGCAGCCAUGCCGCGUGUAUGAAGAAGGCCUUCGGGUUGUAAAGUACUUUCAGUCGGGAGGAAGGUGGUAAGGUUAAUAACCUUAUCAAUUGACGUUACCGACAGAAGAAGCACCGGCUAACUCCGUGCCAGCAGCCGCGGUAAUACGGAGGGUGCAAGCGUUAAUCGGAAUUACUGGGCGUAAAGCGCACGCAGGCGGUUGAUUGAGUCAGAUGUGAAAUCCCCGGGCUUAACCCGGGAAUUGCAUCUGAUACUGGUCAGCUAGAGUGUUGUAGAGGGGGGUAGAAUUCCAUGUGUAGCGGUGAAAUGCGUAGAGAUGUGGAGGAAUACCGGUGGCGAAGGCGGCCCCCUGGACAAAGACUGACGCUCAGGUGCGAAAGCGUGGGGAGCAAACAGG